rnacentral:rRNA from 1 species
UACGUAGGGUGCAAGCGUUGUCCGGAAUUAUUGGGCGUAAAGAGCUCGUAGGCGGUCUGUCGCGUCUGCUGUGAAAACUCGGGGCUUAACCCCGGGCCUGCAGUGGGUACGGGCAGACUAGAGUGCGGUAGGGGAGACUGGAAUUCCUGGUGUAGCGGUGAAAUGCGCAGAUAUCAGGAGGAACACCGGUGGCGAAGGCGGGUCUCUGGGCCGUAACUGACGCUGAGGCACGAAGGUCAGGGGAGCAAACGGG